UGUCCUGCCUCCCGGGUGUGUGCAGAGGGAGGAGCUGCCCGGGUUGUGUGGCUCUGUCCUUCCUGCCCUGAGUGCAGGCCUUGGCCGGAUCCAGGCCAGGCGGCCAUGCUCCAGGCUGUCCUGUGCUGUCCCUCCCCCUGCCUGGAGGCCCGGAGGCUCUGCUGGGCUGCAGCAGCACCAGCUGUCCCCUCGUCCAAUGAAGUGACCCCUGCCCCUUCCUCCACCCCGGGGAGUCACACCCACGUCCCCUGGUGUCCCCUGGGACAACACCCACCCCCUUUGCCUUUGUCCCACAGGCUUUCCCACCUCCUCUCUGCCCUGGACGCUCUCCAGCCUCACCCUCUGCCUGUCAGAGUGGCACAUGGUGCGAAGAACAGAGGGACGGGCAUCUCCCUGAUAUGGGGUCUGGACCUCUCUUGGUGCUGCCCAUGGUGGCUGGCAGAGAAUGGCUUUUGAAGGACCCUAACGAGAAGCUAUCAAGAACCUCAUUGCAAUGAUGAAGCCAAGGAGACAUUACCGGACAUCACCGUGCGACUUGGGAGGCGUUUGAAUGAUCCUUCCCUUCCUCCUCAUUUUUAUUAUUAUUUUCAUAGAGAAAACCAAGCCUGUGGGAUUAAUCUCACAGCCCUGGUGUCCGUAGUUAACUCAGGUGUGUCAGCUGGAAGAGAGAGAGGGAGACACCGGGGUGGAAGUUCUGGAGCCCGUGACCUACCACUGAGACCGCAGGGCAGCUCAUGGGCCACGCGCAGUGACCAGCCAGCCCGGAGGCCAGUGGAGGAAGGAAGCAGGCUUUGGGGCCCUGCUGAACCAUUAGUAUUUAUACUAUUUCUGUUCAAUAUGCGCCCUUUUUCCACCACUGCCUGGCAUGUGAACUCUCUGAGCACUGGCUGCACCACGGUAAUCAUUGCCGUGUCCUGGUGCCCAGCACGGUGCCUGCCCCCGGUGGAUGUCCUGUCAGUGUCUGUCGAAGCGGUGGCUGGCAUUUGGAUUAGAUGAGAAAGGAAGUGGGUGGCUUGGAGAAGUGCAUGGGGGGAGAAGGUGGCCUUUGCCGUCUGUCAGCUUUCCUCUUCAUGGGCCUCCUGAGGGGCUGGUCACAGAAAGAAAGAAACCCCCCACCAGACCCUGUCCCUUUGGCCCCUUCGCCAGUAAGGAGGCUGUCACUCCCCCGCAGGCUGGGGGCAGGAAGAUGGAUCGUCCCCCAUCAGGGGUGUUUCUGGGGCAGCAGGAUGACCUGCCUCUGUCUUACCUAAAUCAAGCACUCCAGCACCGUGGGCAAGCCUAUCAGAAAUCCCUAGAGAUUCCUGCCUGUCGGGGCUGGAACCGGGGAGCCCCGAGCUGGUAAAAGCAGGGUGUUUACAAGUAAGUGACACAGGUGGGAACAGGGUGAAGAAGCCAGGGGUCCCAUCUGGUUUGCCCACAAGCUCUAAGUUCGUCUAGCACCCAGAGUCCCCUUCACUCUGCCUGGGGCUGGCCCUACUUGGGUUGAGUUCCUUAGGGGCAGAUCUGAGGUGGGGGUUGGGUGCAAACGCUCUACUGAGGCAGAACUGUCAGGAUGAACACUGGCAAGGGAGGGGCAAGCAGGAGGGGCAGGAGGACACGCCAAGCUGUGCUCAGCUCAAGUCUGACCUCAGCCUGGUCCCAGAGGACCCUGGAGUGUGCGGGGCACCGCGGAGCUCAUCCACCUUCACCCAAGGGGAUGGGCCUUUGCAGCCCUGUACCCCAGGGCCACUGGCAGUAGGCACCCACCCUUCCUGCCAGCUGAAAAGCAGCUCUGGAGAAGGACACAGGUGUGGGCUGGCGCCAACCAUUCCCAGCUGCUGAGGACUGGCUGCACCUGCGGGUGGGCAGUGGGGAUGUGGGUGGGGCCUCCACAGUGUCCCCUCCAGCCUCCAGCCCAGCCUCCUACCUCCCCAGAGUGAAUCUACCCCUCCCUCAGGGGCCUCUGCCAUUUGCCCUGCCUCCCCACCCCCCUUCCUGGUCCCCGGGAAGUUCCCCUCCAGGGCCUCCACCACAUUCUGUUUCCUGCAGCCCUUGUGGACCCCGGUCCUGUCCUCCUGGGCUCCUGUCCCGCUCUCCCGCUCAUCUCCGCCUGCCCUGGGAAGGCAAGGGCCACCCCCAUCCUUCCCCCUUGUCUCUCACAGGGCUUCACACAGAGAUGGGCCUCUGUGAAGUGACUCAGAAUGGACAGAACAGAGUUCAGAGGACCCCAAACUCAGGAGGCCACAGCCCAGAGCCUGAGCCAUGAAACAGCGUCUCCGGGCUCUGGGCUAAGCUGGGAUUCGAACCCAGGAUGCCACUUGAAUCUCCCCUGUUGCCCAGUCCAGAUGAGCGCACGUAUUUUCUAACUCACUCACCUGGACUCAGCAUUUUGUGUGAAGUUGACCCACUUCUCAGAAAACCUGUGAACCAAAAUCCCCAGGAGAAUUAGGACACAUAGAGGUCAAAUAUGUGGGAUUUCUAGAGGAAGUGAAAGCUUGGCUUCCGCAUCAGUUGGGACACAGACCAGCUGGCUCCCACUCCCGCAGCCGGCUUUAUGCAGCAGCCCAGAGCAGGCGUAUUCUCCCUGGGCCCAAGUUCACAAGCCCCCAGCAGAUAACAGAACGGGGCCGCUUGUCAGUGUCACUGCCAGUGUGUCCCCCUGAGGGUCUGGGAGGCAUUAGAAAGACUCUGAGGCCUGGCCACAGACUUAGCACUUAGGAAGCAAAGAGAGUCUGUGUCUGUCUGUCUGUCUCCUGUGAGCAGUUGCCCUGAGACCCAGCUCUCUGAGACCCAGCUCUAGGAUACCCGGGAAUGGACAGAAGAACAGACGAAAGGCAAAAAAGAUGUGCCUGGGACAGCGCGGAGGCCAGUGUUGUACUUUCUCUACCAGUGCUAAGAAAGGAUGUGCCCACCAAUAAUAAUUUGAACAGGACCCAAGGCAGCAGCUGGGCUGGGAGAGGAAAAGAGUGCAAAGACAGAGGUUAUUCAGGGCCACCAAUGGCUUCUCUCCUGCUCAGUCUCCCCCUCGCUCUCUGAACUUCUUCCACCCACGGGCACCAGCCUUUCCUGUCUCAUGGCUGGUAUGUGGGGAAACAGGAGAACUGGCUCCUGACUCCUCCUGGCCAGCCGCCUGCAAAUUGUAGGUCUCAGACUACGAGGGGAUCCAAGCUCAGAGCACGGUCCCCAGACACGGUUUGUCUGCCCUUUGGUGUCUUCCGUUUGCUGACACCCAGGGGACCAAAGGUUUUUCUCUCCCUCCAGCCAUACAAUUGGACUCAGAGUCUUUCCUUUCAGGAAUUUACAGGGGGCUGACAGGAAGAGCACCUGACAAAAUAUGAGGGCUACCAGCUCCCCCAGGGAAAGUGACUUCUAGGCCAAGACCUUGGGGAGUCUGCUUUAUUUUUUAAAUUGGAAUAUAGUUGCUAUACAAUAUUAUAUUGGUUUCAGGUGUACAACAUCGUGAUUUGACGAGCAUAUACAGUAAAUGCUUACCAUAAGCGUAGUAGCCAUCUGUCAAUAUACAAAGAUAUUACAAUAUUAUUUAUUGACUGUAUUUCCUAUGCUGUACUUUUAUCCCUAAUUUAUUUUAUAAUUGGAUGUCAGUACUUCUUUAUCCCCUUCACCUAUUUUGCCCACCCUCCACUCCCUCCCAUAUGGCAACUUCCAGUCCACUCUCUGUGCUUAUGGGUCUGUUUCUGUUUUGUUUGUUCAAUUGUUUGUUUUUUAGAUUCCACAUAUAAGUGAGCCAUAUGGUAUUUGUCUUUCUCCCUCUGAGUUACUUCAUUUAGCAUAAUGCCUUCUAGGUCCAUCCAUGUUGUUACAGAUGGCAAGAUUUCAUUCUUUUUUUAAUGGCUGAGUUAAUAUUCUGUUGUACGUAUUGUCACAUAUACUAAUAUGUACCACAUCUUCUUCAUCCAUCUGUUGACAGACACUUAGGCUGCUUCCAUUUUUGGCUUUUGUACAUAAUGCUGCAAUAAACGUAGGGGUGCAUGUAUAUCUUUUCAAAUUAGUGAUUUUGUUUUCUUUGAGUAAAUUCCCAGAAGUGGGCCAUAUGGCAUUUCUAUUUUUAGUAUUUUGAGAAAACUUCAUAUUGCUUUCCACAGUGGCUGCACCAUUUACAUUCCCACCAACAACUUACAAACAUUCCCUUUUCUCCUCAUCCUCGUCAACACUUGUAAUUUCUUGUCUUGUUGCCAUUGUAGAGUCUGUUUGUGUUUCUCUGAGUUGGAAGGCUGGUUGGGAUGAAAAAGGAGACAGCAAUUUGCAUCAUGUGUAAAUUCCAGGGCAAUAAAAGGAAGAACUAUUAAUACACACAACUUGGGUGAAUCCCGCACACAUUAUGCUGAACGAAGGCAGCUAGUCUCAGAAGGCCAUGUACCGUGGAGGCUCAACUAAUAGGCUGCGCAAAUUACCGAAGCUGCUCCCCAGAUGUGAGGGGACCUCUAAGUCUUGCAGGGUGGCUGUUGCCGGGUGUGAAGUGUUCUAACAACAGGAAGCAGCUGUGCAAACCCGAAGAGG